UAGUAACGGCGAGUGAAGCGGGAACAGCUCAAAUUUGAAAUCUGGCCUUCGGGUCCGAAUUGUAAUUUGCAGAGGAUGCUUUUGGUUAGGUACUUUCCGAGUUCCCUGGAACGGGACGCCUUACAGGGUGAGAGCCCCGUACGGUUGGAUACCGAGCCUUUGUAAAGCUCCUUCGACGAGUCGAGUAGUUUGGGAAUGCUGCUCUAAAUGGGAGGUAAAUUUCUUCUAAAGCUAAAUACCGGCCAGAGACCGAUAGCGCACAAGUAGAGUGAUCGAAAGAUGAAAAGCACUUUGAAAAGAGGGUUAAAUAGCACGUGAAAUUGUUGAAAGGGAAGCGUUUAUGACCAGACUUUUUCCAGGCGAAUCAUCCGGUGUUCUCGCCGGUGCACUUCGUCUGGUUGAGGCCAGCAUCGGUUUCCGUGGGGGGAUAAAAGCGGUGGGAAUGUGACUCCUCCGGGAGUGUUAUAGCCCGCCGUAUAAUACCUCCAUGGGGACCGAGGUUCGCGCAUCUGCAAGGAUGCUGGCGUAAUGGUCAUCAACGACCCGUCUUGAAACACGGACCAAGGAGUCGAACAUUUGUGCAAGUGUUUGGGUGUUAAACCCUCACGCGUAAUGAAAGUGAACGGAGGUGAGAGCCCUUACGGGUGCAUCAUCGACCGAUCCUGAUGUUUUCGGAUGGAUUUGAGUAAGAGCAUAACUGUUCGGACCCGAAAGAUGGUGAACUAUGCGUGGAUAGGGUGAAGCCAGAGGAGACUCUGGUGGAGGCUCGCAGCGGUUCUGACGUGCAAAUCGAUCGUCAAAUCUGCGCAUGGGGGCGAAAGACUAAUCGAACCAUCUAGUAGCUGGUUACCGCCGAAGU
rnacentral:rRNA from 1 species